AUCACACGGCGUUGUUUUUCUUGACAACAACUCCCGCAGCUCGUCACUAUGUUCAAGAAUCACCCGGGGGAUUUCUAAAGAGCCCUUACGGAGUGUGGAAAGCGGGUCAUUACAUCACCACGGGGAGGCGGGGCUUAUGACGCGGUCGCCAGGGCAACCGGCUCCGGGAAUCCCAGCGCACCUGAGGGGAACCUGAUUUGUGAAGCAGCGCAGAGCCCAGAUCCGCCGUCGCUAUAUAUAGACGCGCACCUGCGGCGGCAACAUGAUUCUCGCGUCGCUGGCCCGAGGAACGCUGCUCCUGCCCGCACGACGCCUCCACGCCUCUGCCGUCGCGAACAUGCCCAUCAAGGUAAGAGCCAGCCCGGCCUCUGCGGGACACGGGCUGCGGGGGUUGGGGACCGGGGCUGCCGGCGGUGCAGGUCUCGGUGGGCGGCGGCGGU